rnacentral:tRNA from 1 species
GGGGUUGUGGCUCAGUGGUAGAGUGCUUGCCUAACAUGCGUGAGGCCCCGAGUUCAAUCCUCAGCUCCA